rnacentral:tRNA from 1 species
GGGAGGGUGGUCUAGCUUGGUAUGAUUCCUGGUUUGGGACCAGGAGGCCGGGGGUUCGAAUCCCCCUCCUCCCA